rnacentral:ribozyme from 11 species
ACGGAACGAAGGAAGGAAGGAUGGAUUGAGAAAGGACGAAGAAAAGAUAGGGAGGUCGGUGGAUAAAUUUUGCACGCUGGCUCUCUUUCUCACACACCUGUUUUGCUUUUUUCUCACAACUCUUUCUUC